rnacentral:rRNA from 1 species
UACAGAGGGUACAAGCGUCGUUCGGAAUUAUUGGGCGUAAAGGGCGCGUAGGCGGUGCGGUAAGUCUCAUGUGAAAUCUCCGGGCUCAACUCGGAGCCUGCAUGAGAAACUGCCGUGCUUGAGUAUGGGAGAGGUGAGUGGAAUUCCUGGUGUAGUGGUGAAAUGCGUAGAUAUCAGGAGGAACACCUGUGGCGAAAGCGGCUCACUGGACCAUCACUGACGCUGAGGCGCGAAAGCUAGGGGAGCAAACAGG